rnacentral:lncRNA from 1 species
GUGAAGUUUGUUUUUCCGCGUUUCACUUAGGUUAGCCUAAUGCCUAAUGUUAACUAAAAUGCUAACAUGACAGCUGUAACCCCAUCCAGGUGUGUCACGAGAUAUGUCUCAAUAUACUUGAGCCCACGUUAAUCCUAACUAAGUCAUUUAGCCUUAGAAGCUAAUGGUUCCGGAACGAUAAUGUUUAGUAUACUUAAUAAGGUAUAUGGACUAUUGUCCAUAUAUAAAUAUAAAGGGACUGAGCCAGCAGAAACACAAGAAAUGGCUUGACACUGAUUGGGACAGACAGCAUCAUUAAAACAAAGCCGGGCAUGCAGCGAGCACUGACGAAGCCGAAGCUCACAGCGUGCUGCGUGCAGGGAGGCCGGUUAGUGUUGCUGCUCUGGAGGAAAUGGAGUUUCAACAGGGGCUGAGGAGCAGCACUCAUCUGAUGAAGAACUCAUCUCAUUUUGAAAUAUUCAACAUGUCACACAGCUGUUUUGUUUGACUGGUAUUUGAAUUUUAUUCAUCCUCCAAAGUAAGAAUAAUAAUAAUAAUAAUAAUAAUAAAACCCACUGAGAC